UGAUUUAUCUAAAAAGACCUAGUUCAACUUAAGUCAUCCAUACGGGUGAAAGUGGUAUGCAAUUAAUUGUCAAUAUAUUGAGAUCAUAUCAAAUUACUUCGUCACAUUGUUUUCAUUACCUUAAUUUUCGAGAAUACAACAAAUUGACAUAAGGAAUUUCCUAUCUUUUUAUUAGUACAAUGAUAUUUUUUAAAGUAAAUAUUUUAAAAUGAAACUGACAGAAAAUUUGAGACAAAGCUCAUAUGUGUUGAUACUCAAAUGUAUUGAUCAAAGAGAAAUCUUAAAGUUUUUGAUUCAUCUACUUCUUAUGUAUAUGGGUUGAUUUCUAUCUCUUAAACGCUAGUGGCAGACCGAGAAAAAUAAAACAAAAACGCUAUUGGUAGAGUGAAGUUGGGUCCAAUUGGCAGAAAAAAAUCGAAAUACUUUUCUAACAUGGGACAUAAGCAAGUCUUUGCCCAAAAGAAGAAAAGUAUAAGUCUUUCUACCGUGUCUUGGCGGGCAAGUGUAAGGACAAAAUUAGUUUUGAAAUAGUCAAAAAUCAUCAAUAAUAAUGAUGUAACCAAUGAAGAUGUAUAAAUUAAUCAACUCAUAUCUUGCACAAAAGUCUAUAUAAAUCAUCUCUUCUCUUUACUUCUGUUUACAUCUAGUACGGUUUCUAUAGAACAUAUCUUCAACUAACUAAUGGCUAACAAGCUCUUGUAUUUUGUAUUGAUGGCGGUGUUUCUACUGUUUAGUGUGUCCAAAAUCUGGUGGGAAACUCCUAAUAAACGGCGAGUUUACUCGACAAUGGAAUUGGUCGAUAAACUUUUUAAAUCGGGAAAAGCGUUACUUCAUAUCGGAUUCGAUGAAGAUCAAGAGUACUUUAAAUCUUAUUUUCUGCUAUAGAUAUUACAUCAGGUUUUUUUUUUGAUAAACUAUUACAUCAGGUUAGCAUGUGUUGUAUAUGGUUUUCUCAAUGGCUAUUGUUGUGUUUUUUUGUUUAUAAUAAAAGUAAAACAGUUAUGUAAUCAAAGUCAAAACUAUUUAUGCAUCAUGGAUAAAUUAGUUACAAGAAAUCUUCAGCAUGGUGCCGAACCGAACAUUUCAUCGAACAUAUAUUUCAUAGGGCGGUUCAGAAUGGUGCAGUUAGACGUGUAUUCUCAUCAAAAGCGGAUCCAUGUGCAUAGAAGUGGUGUCAACUGAUACACCUUAAAUAAUAAAAAAUAGGUUUGUUACUUUUAAAGGAUAAAAAUUCUUCAGCUCUGAUGGCUAUUUUCCU